UCGAGGGGCAGCAUGGGCUUAGCUUGCUAAGCCCGAUGGCGACCGGCGCACGGGUGAGUAACACGUAUCCAACCUUCCGGUAACUCCGGUAUAGCCUUUCGAAAGAAAGAUUAAUCCCGGAUAGUAUGGUGAUUCCGCAUGGUUUCUCCAUUAAAGGAUUCCGGUUACCGAUGGGGAUGCGUUCCAUUAGGCAGUUGGCGGGGUAACGGCCCACCAAACCUACGAUGGAUAGGGGUUCUGAGAGGAAGGUCCCCCACAUUGGAACUGAGACACGGUCCAAACUCCUACGGGAGGCAGCAGUGAGGAAUAUUGGUCAAUGGGCGGAAGCCUGAACCAGCCAAGUAGCGUGAAGGAUGACUGCCCUAUGGGUUGUAAACUUCUUUUAUAAGGGAAUAAAUGUGGGUACGCGUACCCGUUUGCAUGUACCUUAUGAAUAAGGAUCGGCUAACUCCGUGCCAGCAGCCGCGGUAAUACGGAGGAUCCGAGCGUUAUCCGGAUUUAUUGGGUUUAAAGGGAGCGUAGGCGGGCGCUUAAGUCAGCUGUGAAAGUUUGGGGCUCAACCUUAAAAUUGCAGUUGAUACUGGGUGCCUUGAGUGCAGUAUAGGCAGGCGGAAUUCGUGGUGUAGCGGUGAAAUGCUUAGAUAUCACGAAGAACUCCUAUUGCGAAGGCAGCUUGCUGGAGUGUAACUGACGCUGAUGCUCGAAAGUGUGGGUAUCAAACAGGAUUAGAUACCCUGGUAGUCCACACAGUAAACGAUGAAUACUCGCUGUUUGCGAUAUACUGCAAGCGGCCAAGCGAAAGCGUUAAGUAUUCCACCUGGGGAGUACGCCGGCAACGGUGAAACUCAAAGGAAUUGACGGGGGCCCGCACAAGCGGAGGAACAUGUGGUUUAAUUCGAUGAUACGCGAGGAACCUUACCCGGGCUUGAAU
rnacentral:rRNA from 1 species